rnacentral:rRNA from 1 species
CCUACGGGAGGCAGCAGUGGGGGAUAUUGCACAAUGGGGGGAACCCUGAUGCAGCGACGCCGCGUGAGCGAAGCAGUACCUCGGUAUGUAAAGCUCUAUCAGCAGGGAAGAAAAUGACGGUACCUGACUAAGAAGCCCCGGCUAAAUACGUGCCAGCAGCCGCGGUAAUAUGUAGGGGGCCAGCGUUAUCCGGAUUUACUGGGUGUAAAGGGAGCGCAGGCGGCCUGCCAAGUCUGGUGUGAAAACCCGGGGCCCAACCCCGGGCCUGAAUUGGAAACGGGGGGGCUGGAGUGUCGGAGGGGCAGGCGGAAUUCCUGGUGUAGCGGUGAAAUGCGUAGAUAUUAGGAGGAACACCGGUGGCGAAGGCGGCCUACUGGACGAUGACUGACGCUGAGGCACGAAAGCGUGGGGAGCGAACAGGAUUAGAUACCCCAGUAGUC